AGUGAACGCUGACGGUAGGCCUAACACAUGCAAGUCGAACGGCAGCACAGUAAGAGCUUGCUCUUCGGGUGGCGAGUGGCGGACGGGUGAGGAAUACAUCGGAAUCUACUUUUUCGUGGGGGAUAACGUAGGGAAACUUACGCUAAUACCGCAUACGACCUACGGGUGAAAGCAGGGGAUCUUCGGACCUUGCGCGAUUGAAUGAGCCGAUGUCGGAUUAGCUAGUUGGCGGGGUAAAGGCCCACCAAGGCGACGAUCCGUAGCUGGUCUGAGAGGAUGAUCAGCCACACUGGAACUGAGACACGGUCCAGACUCCUACGGGAGGCAGCAGUGGGGAAUAUUGGACAAUGGGCGCAAGCCUGAUCCAGCCAUACCGCGUGGGUGAAGAAGGCCUUCGGGUUGUAAAGCCCUUUUGUUGGGAAAGAAAAGCAGCAGGUUAAUACCCCGCUGUUCUGACGGUACCCAAAGAAUAAGCACCGGCUAACUUC
rnacentral:rRNA from 1 species